CCGUUGUGCUUCCUGGGCACUACUGCCACUGUCUCCACCAGCCUAUACCCAUCCAAGCCCAGAGCUGCCACCUGAAGCCAACAUCUGCAGCACAAGCCCGCUUGCAUCCAGCCGUGACCGCCACUGCUGCAGUGUUUCCUGUGCUGCUCGCCUGCACCAACUUGCUGAAGCACUAGCCCAUAGCGACCAGCCUGCCGCCGCCGCCUGCACUUGGUCAUGCCUGCAGCCACCAGCCUCUGACCCUGGGAGCCUGCGGCUGCUCCAGGAUUGUGCCCAUGGCCAAGACAGCCUGUUCGCCGCCGACUGAAGGAACACACGGCCCGCUACUGUUUGGAAAUCACGCCCAGUCCACCACGGGAGAUUUCUGUGUGCAGAUGCAAUAAGAGCUUUAAAAUUAAUUGGGAGGGAGAAAGAAGAUUCUGCCCUGAAGAGUGCAGGUGAGAGGAAAAUGUGCAAAUGGACAUGCACACAGAAGAGAAUUCUCAUGGAUAUAAGAAUUUCAUUGCUGUUAAGAUUGACAGUUUGGCAUUAACAGGUGAAGAUAGAAAACCCCCAACAAGUUGAAGUGGCAAGAUGGCCCCAUGCUGAGUCAGAGGCCCAGGACAUGGACCCUUUGGUGUUCCCCUGUGGUGUCAAGCCCUUGUGGGACACCCCUGGGUCUGCAGCUAUCAAGGGAAUAGUCCUGCAUGGUAAUCCCCCUUCUUGACUGUAAGGGGUAGAGGCAGUUAUUAGUCUCAGAUACCCUUGAGUCCCCCCCACAGGGCAGCCAUGAGGAUAUAUACUGUGGGCACAAUGGGCUUCUACAUCUCCUCCAUCUGUUUUGGUUACAGCAAGGCUUCCUCUCAGAUGGCGCUAAUUUUGCAGCCACUGAAGAUGUGUCUUGAGGCCCUCACCUUAGUCAUGUAUCCUUUUAACUUCUUAUUGCUUGGAUUUGUCACACACCCUGUAGAUUAAA